GCAUUGUGGUUCUGUGGUAGAAUUCUCCCCUUCCAUGUGGGAGACCCAGGUUCUAUUCCUGGCCAAGGCA
rnacentral:tRNA from 1 species